rnacentral:tRNA from 1 species
CCUCUCAUGGCGUAGUGGUUAACGCGCCCCAACUAGAGGUCGGGGAGUCGUGAGUUCGAUUCUCACUGAGAAGA